AACGAACGCUGGCGGCAUGCCUAACACAUGCAAGUCGAACGAGACCUUCGGGUCUAGUGGCGCACGGGUGCGUAACGCGUGGGAACCUGCCCUUAGGUUCGGAAUAACUCCCCAAAAGGGGCGCUAAUACCGGAUAAUGUCUUCGGACCAAAGAUUUAUCGCCUUUGGAUGGGCCCGCGUUGGAUUAGCUAGUUGGUAGGGUAAAAGCCUACCAAGGCGACGAUCCAUAGCUGGUCUGAGAGGAUGAUCAGCCACACUGGGACUGAGACACGGCCCAGACUCCUACGGGAGGCAGCAGUGGGGAAUAUUGGACAAUGGGCGAAAGCCUGAUCCAGCAAUGCCGCGUGAGUGAUGAAGGCCUUAGGGUUGUAAAGCUCUUUUACCCGGGAUGAUAAUGACAGUACCGGGAGAAUAAGCUCCGGCUAACUCCGUG
rnacentral:rRNA from 1 species